CUUACAAACAGGAACGCUAUAACAUGGAAAAACCUCGUAAGGCUUUUGUGAUGUGUGUGAAGACAGGCAGACCAGGGGCUAAGCAGGAUAUGAAGAGAAUGAGAAACUGGCUUAAAGCGUGCAAGUUUGAAUGUACAUCUUGCAUCAAUCCUGAUGAAAAGGGGUUAAUGGAGAAAUUACGAGAGUUUCGAGAUGGAAUAAAUAAAA